GCUCAGUGGGAAUUUGAUGAAGAGAGUUUUAGCGAUAUAACGGAAGAGGCCAAACAUUUCAUCAGCUCCCUGCUUGUCAAAGUCCCCAGGCGACGGAUGUCCUGUGAAGAAGCCCUCGCUCAUCCCUGGAUCGCUGCUUUUGAUUCUGGAGACCUCACCUCUACAAAGAGUCUGUCCAAAGAGAAGAUGAAGAGGUUUUUAGCCAGGCAAAAGUGGAAGGAUAUCCUGACCCAGAGGUGGUGUGGCUGUGUGGAGAUGAACCUCUGGAGGAGUCCUCCGCUGUGCAGAUAGAAUACGAUGAAGAAGGAUGCUGUGCACUGAUUUUAACAGACGUUGGCAUGCAAGACACCAAUGUUUACACCUGCAGAGCCAGCAACAACCACGGGGAAACCUACUGCUCUGCAAAACUGACUGUUCAAGAGUAAAUGCAUCUCAUCUAAAUAUGCAGGGAAAAUUUGUGUGGAAGAUGUGUGUGUUUUAUGUUGUACAUUGUUGUAGAUGGAGGUUGAUGUUUCUCCUCUGACUUAUACCUAAAUAUUGGCUUUAACACAAAGUUUUAGGUGGAACUUUGAAGCUCUCUGUGCAGCUACAACUUUGAAUAAUUUCAAACAUUUUCUUUUCUAAGAAAUUUGGUUUGUUCCAUUUCAAAUCAUCACUAUUUUAGCUAUUGAAUAAAGUUAUUGACUGAAUUUUUAUAUAAGUAUUUUUAUUUAGAAUCAUUCAAUUUUUUUUUUCAAUAUUCAGUCAUCUAGACUGCAAUAACACAAACCAUAAAUAUAUUUCUACAAUGGAACCAACCUGGAUGAAUGAGAGUCUUCAUAGACAUGUUACUUCUAAUUUUGGGAACGAUACCCUUCAGCUGGUGCGUGAAUUGGAGAAGACAGCAAGGAAAUUGGCGGACUACAAGAACCACCUCAGGUUCAACGUGAGAUAGAUUUAGACGGGUCUGAACAAAUACUCGUUUAAAAAGGGACACCUUUGGGAGCUCUGCAGAAUUAAAACCAUGAUGACGUGUG